UAGGCUGAAGUCCGCUGGAUAGGGCGGUUAGUUGUUAACUAACAUUUUAUGGGAUCGAAGCCCAUCGGUCUAG
rnacentral:tRNA from 1 species